rnacentral:lncRNA from 1 species
CACCAACUCCCUUCCUGUGAGCUGGCCCAUGAUCAGCCAAUUCCCACUGAUCUGUUUUUUGUCAUCGCCGAGCACAAACAUUAACCGACUUAAAACCUGGAGUAGAUUCCGCACACAACAGACUCUUGCUAAAUUAUCCUAAAUGGCAAGGAUGGUUGUGAGGAAACAUCAGUGGGGCUGACCUGGCCCAACCAGAGGACGAAAGCUUCUCCCCAGGCUGCCAAGCAACCACCUGCCAAGAGCGUCUCUGUGCAGUCCCCACGGAAGCCAGUGGCAUUCAGGCUUCCGAGAGCAGCUUCCAAUGCCAGUGUUCGCAUCUGGGGUUUGGUUUGGAACUCAGCUCGGACACUGCAAGGCCAAAGGGAUUAGUCAACAGUGCUUGUUAAACACAGACCUCAUGCCUAACACCAUGCCUGGCACCGUCGAUUAAAAGAAAACAUUUCAUGCGUGGCUCUUGCUUGCAGGAGAACCGCCAUCUGGCUGGGAUGCUCAUGGCAGACCCUGCCAAGGCACAGCCUAAUGCGAGAUGAAUCUGAGUGUCAGCUCGACUGCAGCUCAGGGAGAAGGACCAGGAGAGAAAGCAUGGGCCUGUCCUCAGGUUCAUCCGGGUUCCAUCCUAGCUUCACAGCCUAACAGCUGUGUGCCCCUGGGCAAGUAACCCAGAGUCUCUGUUCCUCCACUCUCUCAUGUCCACAAUAGGUCAUGGUGAUCAAAAUUAUGUACAAUGUGCCCGGAGUGUUAUAUUAAUAACAGUAGCUUCAUUUCUACAAGAUGUGCUAUGUGUCCACACUGUACCAAGUGCUUUACAUAAAUAAACUCAUUUUAUUCUCCUAUAUUCUUUUUUAUUUUAUUCUCCUUUAUUCUCUAUAAGGAAGGGAAAUAUGAGUACCUCCAUUUUACAGAUGAAGAAAUGGAGACCCAGAGGAAUGAAAGAACUGCCCAAAGUAAUCCAGCUAGGAAGGGGUCAUCUCAGUGCCUGAUACUCCCACUGUCCUUCGCCCCACUGACCACCGUGGAGCAGCAGAUGAAAUGGGCUUGAGGAGCCAGAGAAACUCAGACAUAAUUAGAUGCAUUAAUAUGGUGAUGCACACCCAUGUUCCUGGAAGUAUGACUCAUAAUAGCCAAAAGGUGGAAGUGAAGGCACCCAAGUGUCCCUUCAUGAGCGAAUGACAUAUACACAUACAAUGUAAUAUUAUACAACCACUAAAAGGACGGAAAUUUUGACACAUGAUACAAUAGGGAUGAAGCAUAAGGACAUUAUGCUAAGCCAGUCACAAAAUGACAAAUACUCUAUGAUUCCAUUCGUAAGAGGUACUUAGAGGUGUUAAAAUCACAGAGAUAGGCUAACACAGUGAAACCCCGUUUCUACUAAAAAAUACAAAAACUAGCGGGCGGUGGUGGCCUGUAGUCCCAGCUACUCAGGAGGCUGAGGCAGGAGAAUGGUGUGAACCCAGGAGGCGGAGCUUGCAGUGAGCUGAGAUCCGGCCACUGCGCUCCAGCCUGGGCGACACAGCGAGACUCUGUCUCAAAAAAAAAAAAAAA